rnacentral:rRNA from 1 species
UGUCGGGUAAGUUCCGACCUGCACGAAUGGCGUAACGAUUUCCCCACUGUCUCCAACAUCGACUCAGCGAAAUUGAAUUCUCCGUGAAGAUGCGGAGUACCCGCGGUCAGACGGAAAGACCCCGUGCACCUUUACUACAGCUUGACAGUGGUAUUGGCGAUUAUUUGUGUAGGAUAGGCGGGAGUCUAUGAAGCCAGGGCGCCAGUUCUGGUGGAGACAUCCUUGAAAUACCGCCCUGAUGAUUGUUAAUAUCUAACCGCGGCCCAUGAACCUGGGUCCGGGACCCUGUCUGGUGGGUAGUUUGACUGGGGCGGUCGGCUCCUAAAGAG